GGGCACAUGGUGUAGUUGGUUAUCACAUCCGCUUAGCAUGGUCAUUCGUGCUGGUAUUGCGGGGGGUGCUGGGUUCAAUUCCCAGUGUGUCCA